AGCAGACAGAAACGUGUGCAACACUGUGGCACGUUGUCCAGCAAGAGUCCCCCCGACCUGUGCGAACAUUCUGUGGCUGGGGCUGUAGCUUACACUCGCAGAUAUUUUCUCCGAAGUACACUGAAACUGCUUAUUUCAAACAAGUCUCCAUUUUACCAUCAAAAGUUCCUGAUAAUGCCUGAGUCAUUCUCAGUCGUACCUGUGCCUCACUCAGGCCGAGCUCCAACAUCUCCAGUGACUUCCGGAUCAUGUUUGAUUUCUCCUCCACCAAGUUACUUUCAUCAUCUUUCUUCAAACACUUCAGUGUCUCCAGCAAACUUUGUAAAAUGGAAUUGUGCUCAUUCUUCAAAGCUUCCAGCCCCUGAAUUACUUGCUUUGUCUUAGAAAUAAUUUCAUC